GGGCCUAUAGCUCAGUUGGUUAGAGCAGUGGACUCAUAAUCCAUUGGUCGUAGGUUCGAGUCCUACUGGGCCCA
rnacentral:tRNA from 1 species